rnacentral:lncRNA from 1 species
GGUGAGCUCUCGUGAACCAAAAACGCGAUGAGCUCUCCCCAAUUUCUUCAUCUCUUCAAACUCGAAAAACAAAGCCCAGUUCUUCAAAUACCCACAAUUCCUCUUGCUUUCUUUUAGUAUUUGAAUUCUUGCACAAGAAAAUUCCAUGGCUGCAGCAGUCCACCAAGUCUCACUCUUUAAUCCAUCCUCAUUCAUCACCACCACUUACAAAAAACGUUCAUAUCCAAGCAUUUAUACUCGUCACUUAAAAUUAUCCAUUAAAAUCUCCGCCCAUAACAACCUCCGUUACUCUUGUGGGGUUCCUUUUCAAAAUUCCAGGUGUAAUUUUAGUUCUAGGAUUUCUCCGUCAGUUAAAGGAAAUGGGAUUUUUCAGAAUGCCCAAGAUUCUUCUGGGUCAUGUUUAAGAAUACAGUUUUUAGAGUUGUUGCUCAAAAAAGGAUUGGUUUUGGCUGCCGUGAUAUGUGGUGUAGUUGUAAUUGGGUGCAGAAGAGUUCUUGCUGUUGAAGGUGUUUUAAAUGGGGGAUAUAAUGGGGUUAUAGAGCAGAGUUUGGUUCUGUUGAGGAGUUCUUGGCCUACAGUUUUGCAGCUUCUCAGGGUUUUUAAAGAGCAAGGGUUGGUUCUUGCGGCGCUUCUUAGUCUUUCUGCUUUUUUCUCAAUGGCUGAGACCUCAAUCACUACAGCGCUUCUUAGUCUUUCAGCUUUUUUCUCAAUGGCUGAGACCUCAAUCACUACUCUUUGGCCUUGGAAGGUAC